AGAGUUUGAUCAUGGCUCAGGACGAACGCUGGCGGCGUGCUUAACACAUGCAAGUCGAACGAUGAACACCGGAGCUUGCUCUGGUGGGAUUAGUGGCGAACGGGUGAGUAACACGUGAGCAAUCUGCCCCCGACUCUGGGAUAACCCCGAGAAAUCGGAGCUAAUACCGGAUACGACACCUCCUGGCAUCAGGUGGGUGUGGAAAGAAUUUCGGUUGGGGAUGAGCUCGCGGCCUAUCAGCUUGUUGGUGAGGUAAUGGCUCACCAAGGCGACGACGGGUAGCCGGCCUGAGAGGGUGACCGGCCACACUGGGACUGAGACACGGCCCAGACUCCUACGGGAGGCAGCAGUGGGGAAUAUUGCACAAUGGGCGCAAGCCUGAUGCAGCAACGCCGCGUGGGGGACGAAGGCCUUCGGGUUGUAAACCUCUUUUGGCAGGGAAGAAGCGAAAGUGACGGUACCUGCAGAAAAAGCACCGGCUAACUACGUGCCAGCAGCCGCGGUAAUACGUAGGGUGCAAGCGUUGUCCGGAAUUAUUGGGCGUAAAGAGCUCGUAGGCGGUGUGUCACGUCUGCUGUGAAAAUCCAAGGCUCGACCUUGGACUUGCAGUGGGUACGGGCACACUCGAGUGCGGUAGGGGAGAUUGGAAUUCCUGGUGUAGCGGUGGAAUGCGCAGAUAUCAGGAGGAACACCAAUGGCGAAGGCAGAUCUCUGGGCCGUAACUGACGCUGAGGAGCGAAAGCGUGGGGAGCGAACAGGAUUAGAUACCCUGGUAGUCCACGCCGUAAACGGUGGGAACUAGAUGUGGGGUCCGUUCCACGGAUUCCGUGUCGCAGCUAACGCAUUAAGUUCCCGCCUGGGGAGUA
rnacentral:rRNA from 1 species